GAUGAACGCUGGCGGCGUGCCUAAUACAUGCAAGUCGAGCGAAGCGGGGACGGGUGAGUAACCCGUGGAUAACCUCCUAUAAGACUGGGAUAACUUCGGGAAACCUGAGCUAUACCGGAUACUUAUAGAUUGAUCCUCGCUGCAUUAGCUAGUUGGUAAGGUAACGGCUUACCAAGGCAACGAGGCAUAGCCGACCUGAGAGGGUGAUCGGCCACACUUGAACUGAGACACGGGCCAGACUCCUACGGGAGGCAGCAGUAGGGAAUCUUGCGCAAUGGGCGAAAGCCUGACGGAGCAACGCCGCGUGAGUGAUGAAGGCCUUCGGAUCGUAAAGCGCUGUUAGUAGGGAAGCGGUACCUAAUCAGAAAGCCACGGCUAACUACGUGCCAGCAGCCGCGGUAAUAC
rnacentral:rRNA from 1 species